AUACGGAGGAUGCGAGCGUUAUCCGGAUUUAUUGGGUUUAAAGGGAGCGUAGGUGGGAUAUUAAGUCAGCUGUGAAAGUUUGGGGCUCAACCUUAAAAUUGCAGUUGAUACUGGUUUCCUUGAGUACGGUACAGGAGGGCGGAAUUCGUGGUGUAGCGGUGAAAUGCUUAGAUAUCACGAAGAACUCCGAUCGCGAAGGCAGCUCACCGGGCCGGAACUGACACUGAUGCUCGAAAGUGCGGGUAUCAAACAGGAUUAGAUACCCUGGUAGUCCGCACAGUAAACGAUGAAUACUCGCUGUUUGCGAUACACGGUAAGCGGCCAAGCGAAAGCGUUAAGUAUUCCACCUGGGGAGUACGCCGGCAACGGUGAAACUCAAAUGAAUUGACGGGG
rnacentral:rRNA from 1 species